rnacentral:misc_RNA from 1 species
GCAUGAGGUCAUUUAUAUCUUUAACUGAUCAGUCGGACACGAAGAUAUAUGGCACGAAUGAGUGCAUCUGUCUGAAACCUAAAUGAAAAUGUCUGGCGGAUGAGAAUAGAUUAUGAUAUAUCAUAUAGUUGUGGGUUUAUAUCGAAUUACCAAGGACGGGAUAUUAGUUCCUGAUCUAGCUGCCUCGAAUUGCCUUCUGGACUAAAUGAACUGUUAUCUUUUUCCUCGUGCUUUUUUUUCGAUUGAUAAAGUACAUAUACUGUUACUCAUGUUGCUAAGAAAUGUCAUUUGAGGUCGUAACGUCACACUAAAAUAACCUGAGACGAUAGAAACAAUCCUGUUAUCUAUGUGUAGGUUUUAGAAUUUAGAAUUUUAUUAAAUUAUCUUAUAUAUUCAGUGUCUGUAAAUACGCACUUCUCAUGCAAAUGUUUGCUGUGUGAUUUGGUUUUGAGUGUGGUUAGGUUAAACACAGCAGUGAUAAGAAAGGCGUAUUCCUCUGACACUGGGACAGAAGUAAUAUUUGUUUCGCGCAAUGAACCAAAUAAAAAAACAAUAACAAAGAAAAGGAAGUCAAAGACUAGUUUGUGGAAGGGAAGCUACUCUUAUCAUGCCAUUACAGGAAACAUGGCACCACAGCCGAUGAGGGAGGGUACAGCGUCGAAACGAGUACUUCUUUGGUCCAAAAGAGGGACGCUAAGUUUAUGUACCCUAGGAAUAGUCGUGAGUGUUUACGCCUUAUACGUCGAAAUAAUUGCAGAACGUGUAGAAGGUUACACAGCACUUUGUGACAUCGGUCACCGAAUGAGUUGUUCGCGGGUUCUGACAUCCAGAUGGGGUAGAGGAUUCGGAUUAGUAGAUAAAGUACUCUCAAAGGACAGCAUUCUGAAUCAGCCUAACAGCAUUUAUGGUCUCGCAUUUUAUUUUUUUCAAGCAACCCUUGCAUUCAACUCAACAUUUUCUGGCUCUGUGGUGCAGCUAGUGGCAGCAUUUUUAGCAAAUUUGGGCUCCAUCUACCUUGGAUACAUCUUAUUCGCCAUCAUACAAGAUAUUUGCAUUAUAUGUAUAGCCACAUACAUUCUGAACUUUUUUCUUCUAAUUUGCAGCAUAGUUAAAGUUAAAAGUGCUUAUUCAGCACAUGCAAAGAAAUUGAGAUAAUAAUGGUUUAUUUAAGUUCAUGAUCAAAUGUGAGCAUCUCUCAUACCUCUAUCUAUAAAUAUUGUCCCUUUGUCUUCAGCUCAUAAGUGUUUAAUUGACUAAAUUUUGAGUUCUUGGUGAAAAUGUCUUAUGGAAUUAGGCUAAUAAAAAUGUAUGCUUCUGAUCUUUUUAUCAAUUUAUGUGCUUUUCAUAAAUGAAAAUGAAUCCUUUGGUUGUGAAGCUAAAGCUGCAAACCAAGCAAAACUACUACAGUAGUCCUUUAAUUUUGCAGUCAAAUUGUUCAUGAACCCACAUCCCUCUAUACAGGUUCAAAACCUGUACAUUUGAGACCCAUGUAUAUAAAAGUGCCUUUGCACUAACCCCAGAAAAUAGUAUAUGAUGAUGAACUAAAGAUGCUUUAUUCUCUCAGACAGACAUUGAGAAUGCAGUUUAAACUGAAGACAUUUUAGAAAAAAUUAGGAAGCAACAACAGUAUGUUGACAUCUGAAAUAGGUGAAAGGAAGACCGCCACAAAUUUGCAAAGUACAGAGAAAGCUGCAGGGACAGCAGGAUUUGGUAUAUAGUUUGCAUGAAGCAAGCAUACAGCUACUUGGAGAUGUUUCCAUCCUGUUUGCACAUACCUGAUAAGUAUUUUUUUUUUUUAUAUCUUCCAUAUAUUAAAUAAAAAGUAAGAGUAAUGUUUCUUCAACAUUUUUAUUUUGAUCUCUUCAGCUGUAAAGCUCUGGGGAAUUCCUGAAGAUCUGUUUGCAGUCCAUAAGACAAUAAAACUGCAAAAAUAUUGUGGUGGUUGGUAAC